UACGUAGGGUGCAAGCGUUAUCCGGAAUUAUUGGGCGUAAAGAGCUCGUAGGCGGUUUGUCACGUCUGCUGUGAAAACUGGAGGCUCAACCUCCAGCCUGCAGUGGGUACGGGCAGACUAGAGUGCGGUAGGGGAGAUUGGAAUUCCUGGUGUAGCGGUGGAAUGCGCAGAUAUCAGGAGGAACACCGAUGGACGAAGGCAGAUCUCUGGGCCGUAACUGGACGCUGAGGAGCGAAAGCAUGGGGAGCGAACAG
rnacentral:rRNA from 1 species